AGUACUUGCGCGUUGAAGAAGUGAGCGAGCGUGACACUAAAAGAUCAAGUAUUUUGAAAACAAUUUGAUGUUCUGGGCGUUCGUUUACAAGCUARCUUUUACAGAAUCGUUUGCAACGAGUGCGAUUUUACUUAUUAUGGACAGAGUGAAAGAUCACUUAAGAGACGAGUCGUAGAGCACUAAGGACUGUUUGCAGCAACGCAYCGUUGUCUACGGUCGCGCUACAUGCAAAAGACACACGACAUGACUGAUUGAUUUUGACAAAACCAUCGUAGAGAAAGAAAAGAAUUUCCAUUAGCUACUGUUUCUGGAAGGUUGGUACACAAUGGGAGAUGACAGAUCGAUGGGACGACUAUAUCAAGCCUCCAGAAAUAUAUAGAACGCUUUUGAGAUCAAGUAGCGAGCGCUUACUAAUUCAAAAUCGUUAUGCUGAACAAGUUCCUUGAUCGGAGACCGAAAUGUCUAAUUGUAAAACAUGAAAAAGUCAUAMAAAAUAAAGAGUAAAAAAAUUCAUAAA